rnacentral:rRNA from 1 species
GAUUCUGGCUCAGGAUGAACGCUGGCGGCGUGCUUAACACAUGCAAGUCGAACGAAGCAGCUUCUGCUUGCAAGAAAGUUGACUUAGUGGCGGACGGGUGAGUAACGCGUGGGUAACCUGCCUCAUACAGGGGGAUAACAGUUGGAAACGACUGCUAAGACCGCAUAACCCGCUAGUGUCGCAUGACACGGACGGAAAAUAUUUAUAGGUAUGAGAUGGGCCCGCGUCUGAUUAGCUAGUUGGUAAGGUAACGGCUUACCAAGGCGACGAUCAGUAGCCGACUUGAGAGAGUGAUCGGCCACAUUGGGACUGAGACACGGCCCAAACUCCUACGGGAGGCAGCAGUGGGGAAUACUGGACAAUGGGGGAAACCCUGAUCCAGCCGACGCCGCGUGAGUGAAGAAGUAUUUCGGUAUGUAAAGCUCUAUCAGCAGGGAAGAUAAUGACAGUACCUGACUAAGAAGCCCCGGCUAACUACGUGCCAGCCGCCGC